rnacentral:rRNA from 1 species
GUGCCUAAUACAUGCAAGUCGAGCGGACAGAUGGGAGCUUGCUCCCUGAUGUUAGCGGCGGACGGGUGAGUAACACGUGGGUAACCUGCCUGUAAGACUGGGAUAACUCCGGGAAACCGGGGCUAAUACCGGAUGGUUGUUUGAACCGCAUGGUUCAAACAUAAAAGGUGGCUUCGGCUACCACUUACAGAUGGACCCGCGGCGCAUUAGCUAGUUGGUGAGGUAACGGCUCACCAAGGCAACGAUGCGUAGCCGACCUGAGAGGGUGAUCGGCCACACUGGGACUGAGACACGGCCCAGACUCCUACGGGAGGCAGCAGUAGGGAAUCUUCCGCAAUGGACGAAAGUCUGACGGAGCAACGCCGCGUGAGUGAUGAAGGUUUUCGGAUCGUAAAGCUCUGUUGUUAGGGAAGAACAAGUGCCGUUCAAAUAGGGCGGCACCUUGACGGUACCUAACCAAAAAGCCACGGUUAACUACGUGCCAGCAGCCGGGGUAAUACUUAGGUGGCAGCGUUGUCCGAAUUAUUGGGCGUAAGGGCUCGAGGCGGUUUUUUAAUUUG